UUGACCUCAAAUCAGGUAGGACUACCCGCUGAACUUAAGCAUAUCAAUAAGCGGAGGAAAAGAAACUAACAAGGAUUCCCUUAGUAACUGCGAGUGAAGAGGGAAAAGCUCAAAUUUAAAAUCUGGCAGUGUUUCACUGUCCGAGUUGUAACCUAGAGAAGUGUAACCUGCACUGGACCGUGUACAAGUCUCCUGGAAUGGAGCAUCACAGAGGGUGAGAAUCCCGUCUUUGACAUGGACUGCCAGUGCAUUGUGGUUGUGCUCUCAACGAGUCGAGUUGUUUGGGAAUGCAGCUCUAAAUGGGUGGUAAAUUCCAUCUAAAGCUAAAUAUUGGCGAGAGACCGAUAGCGAACAAGUACCGUGAGGGAAAGAUGAAAAGAACUUUGGAAAGAGAGUUAAACAGUAUGUGAAAUUGUUGAAAGGGAAACGUUUGAAGUCAGUCGCGUCGGCUGGGGAUCAACCUGACUUUUUGUUGGGUGUACUUCCUGGUUUAACUGCGAGUGAAGAGGGAAAAGCUCAAAUUUAAAAUCUGGCAGUGUUUCACUGUCCGAGUUGUAACCUAGAGAAGUGUAACCUGCACUGGACCGUGUACAAGUCUCCUGGAAUGGAGCAUCACAGAGGGUGAGAAUCCCGUCUUUGACAUGGACUGCCAGUGCAUUGUGGUUGUGCUCUCAACGAGUCGAGUUGUUUGGGAAUGCAGCUCUAAAUGGGUGGUAAAUUCCAUCUAAAGCUAAAUAUUGGCGAGAGACCGAUAGCGAACAAGUACCGUGAGGGAAAGAUGAAAAGAACUUUGGAAAGAGAGUUAAACAGUAUGUGAAAUUGUUGAAAGGGAAACGUUUGAAGUCAGUCGCGUCGGCUGGGGAUCAACCUGACUUUUUGUUGGGUGUACUUCCUGGUUCUUGGCGAUUGAGAGCUUCUAGUGGGCCAUUUUUGGUAAGCAGAACUGGCGAUGCGGGAUGAACCGAACGCGAGGAUAAGGUGCCGGAAUUCACGCUCAUGAGACACCACAAAAGGUGUUAGUUCAUCUAGACAGCAGGACGGUGGCCAUGGAAGUCGGAAUCCGCUAAGGAGUGUGUAACAACUCACCUGCCGAAUGAACUAGCCCUGAAAAUGGAUGGCGCUUAAGCGUGAUACCCAUACCUCGCCGUCAGUGUUGAAGUGAGGCGCUGACGAGUAGGCAGGCGUGGAGGUCAGUGAAGAAGCCUUGGCAGUGAUGCUGGGUGAAACGGCCUC
rnacentral:rRNA from 1 species